GGGGGACGGCCCUCCGGGAUCGGCUUUCAGGAGCAGGUCUCAAACCAGUCCGAGCAGGUGCGUGUCCGAAAGACGAACGAAAGUGAACCCUCCGAAGACGCGUCGUUAUGAACGUAGGU
rnacentral:ncRNA from 1 species